rnacentral:rRNA from 1 species
GAUUUGAAGAGCUUGCUCAGAUAUGACGAUGGACAUUGCAAAGAGUGGCGAACGGGUGAGUAACACGUGGGAAACCUACCUCUUAGCAGGGGAUAACAUUUGGAAACAGAUGCUAAUACCGUAUAACAAUAGCAACCGCAUGGUUGCUACUUAAAAGAUGGUUCUGCUAUCACUAAGAGAUGGUCCCGCGGUGCAUUAGUUAGUUGGUGAGGUAAUGGCUCACCAAGACGAUGAUGCAUAGCCGAGUUGAGAGACUGAUCGGCCACAAUGGGACUGAGACACGGCCCAUACUCCUACGGGAGGCAGCAGUAGGGAAUCUUCCACAAUGGGCGAAAGCCUGAUGGAGCAACGCCGCGUGUGUGAUGAAGGGUUUCGGCUCGUAAAACACUGUUGUAAGAGAAGAAUGACAUUGAGAGUAACUGUUCAAUGUGUGACGGUAUCUUACCAGAAAGGAACGGCUAAAUACGUGCCAGCAGCCGCGGUAAUACGUAUGUUCCAAGCGUUAUCCGGAUUUAUUGGGCGUAAAGCGAGCGCAGACGGUUAUUUAAGUCUGAAGUGAAAGCCCUCAGCUCAACUGAGGAAUUGCUUUGGAAACUGGAUGACUUGAGUGCAGUAGAGGAAAGUGGCACUCCAUGUGUAGCGGUGAAAUGCGUAGAUAUAUGGAAGAACACCAGUGGCGAAGGCGGCUUUCUGGACUGUAACUGACGUUGAGGCUCGAAAGUGUGGGUAGCAAACAAGAUAGAUACCCUGGUAGUCCACACCGUAACGAUGAGUGUAGGUGUUUGAGGGUUCCGCCCUUAGUGCCCAGCUACGCAUUAACACUCCCCUGGGGAGUCCACCGCAGGUUGAACUCAAGGAUUGACGGGACCCCACAGCGGGGACAUGUGUUUAUUCGAGCAC